UCUAAUGUCAUUUUUAUCGUUACAUUUUUUUUCACAACAUGAUUACAUUUUGGACUUGAAUUGUAAGGAUUUUCAGAAGGAGGGGUUAAUGGUAAUUUACAGAUCUUAAUUGAGAAUAAUUUAUAGAGAAAGGGGUUGUUUUGUAAAUGUUGGACUUGUAAUGAAAAGGAUUAUUGAAAUCAAAGGUGUAAAGGGUAAAUUAGGGUUUUGUUUUGAAAGAAAAGAAAGAGAGGGAUUACAUGUGUUAAUAUGGGAACUAGUUUAAGGAUCCGGGUAUAACCGUUUCCUUCCCGUCCACACCCUAAUUAACCCUAAACCUAAUGAGGCAUUCAGCCGCCACCAUUGCUCUCUCAACUUCGGGUGCCGCUACCUUCCUCCACCGAGUCGCGCAUCACCACAGUUGGAGCCCCAAACCACCGGAGCAACCACCUCGUGUCCAUCCUAGCACCGGGGAAUGAAGUUGGGUGCGUGUUGUCGUCGUUCGCUUGGAAGACCGCCAUUCAAGCAUUCAUUCGCAACCUGGCGACCAUCCAGCCGUCUGCCGGGGACAAGAAACUAUCGUGGGUCGUAAACCACCGAGGCUGCUGCCCCUGUUGCGCUGGAACGGUGGGAAAUGCAUUCGCUGCCGCCGCCAUCCGUUCGUUGGCGACUAAUGGCCAACCCUAGUCGUCGCAGAUGUUAUCGCCUCUAGACGCCUCAGUUGCUGCUAGUAUUGUUUCGCAGUUGCAUUCGCUGCCCCAACACCACCAUCAACAACACCUGCGGGUAAAUGAGUUGCGACAAUAAAUGUCAAACAUGGAACAAGCCAUGGAAGAAAAGCAAAGGGAAAUGAAUUUGCCAAUGCAACAAAUACGAAAUGAAAUGGAAUUGCAAGUGCAACGACAAUUAGCGGUCUUUAUGAAACAAAUCAAUCCGUCCGGGAAUCCACCAAGUAGUUCUUAGUUUUUGUUUUAGAACACUAAAUUUAUGUUAUGUUAUUGACUAGUUCUUAGUUUUUGUAAUGGUAUUUUGAGUAUUUGAAUUUAUGAAUGUCAUGUUAGUGACUAUUUUAAUGGUAAUGAAUGUAACGGUAUUUGACUAUUA